rnacentral:piRNA from 1 species
UGGAACAAUAACGGAAAAAGCACGACUUUC